UUCCCGCGCGGCGCCCUCUCCUGGCGGCCUCUGCUGGCGUCGCCGGGAAAGAGCUUUGGUUUGAAAAGAACGUGGUAAUGUUCUCUUCUACAAGAUGGAUGGCUCUUUGUCUUCCGUGGGAGGGAAGAAAAGUGAAUUUGAGUCUGCAAAUACAAGUCCUCAACUUCUCAGUAUGAGAAGGGAUCCGUGGAGCUCACUCUUAACACUUCAGUGUCAUGACACAAAUAUCUACCAGCUAUGGCCAGGGCACAUAUUAAUGAAGAACCAGAAUUUUCCAGAUGAAAAGAUUCCUCACAUUGAGUCCACUGAGGCCACGCUCAAAGCCAACUCCUCUGGAAAAUAUCAAGGGGCUGCUAUAAUAUGGCCACAAAGAGCAAAAGCAGAUUUGUGUCUGGAGAGAAGAAGUCUAAGACCAAAUGCUGCCUAGAAAGCGAUUUAUUCACCUUACAGAGAUGAAAGGAGGGAAGCCCUGGUGGGCAAUAAAACUCAUCCACUGGGGCGGCACGGAGGCUCUCU